rnacentral:tRNA from 5 species
GGGGAAUUAGCUCAGUUGGGAGAGCGCAUGACUGGCAGUCAUGAGGUCAGGGGUUCGAAUCCCCUAUUCUCCACCA